rnacentral:rRNA from 1 species
UACGUAGGGUGCAAGCGUUGUUCGGAAUUACUGGGCGUAAAGGGCUCGUAGGUGGCCAACUAAGUCAGACGUGAAAUCCCUCGGCUUAACCGGGGAACUGCGUCUGAUACUGGAUGGCUUGAGUUCGGGAGAGGGAUGCGGAAUUCCAGGUGUAGCGGUGAAAUGCGUAGAUAUCUGGAGGAACACCGGUGGCGAAGGCGGCAUCCUGGACCGACACUGACACUGGAGGAGCGAAAGCCAGGGGAGCAAACGGG